AGGAAGGAAUCAACACGAAUGAACUCCAGUAGAAAAAAAAUGAAGAUUCAAUGUCAUUCUUAAUUCUAGAAAACUUCCUUGCUUCCUAACUCUGGACCUAAGAAAAGAAAACCAGCAUCAAUUCACUUAUUGAAAUGCUAAUGUCAAGAAGGUACAUUUUUAUGUACAAAAUGUAAUCCAUAUAUCCAUUCAUUCAACACAUAUUUAAUGAGUGCCAUGAAAACAGGUGAACAGGGCUGGCCAAGAUUCUGUUUUCAUGGACCUUAAUCUAGUGAAAAACACAGACAACAUCUUUUUAACAUGAGGAAGGAUGUGGCUGCAUCUCAGACAUGAGACGUGCAUGCAUGAAUGUUAGGAAGGUUUACAGUGAUUCUUAGAAAUGUAACCUCUAAUCACAGAAUUUAGACCUAUGCCUCCUGGUAAAUUUAGAAUUGAGCCUUUGUUAUGGAUGCAUUAUUUUCAUUGAGUUUACAGAAUGGAGAGGUUCGAUGUUCUGUGAGUGAGGGAGGGUGGAGAGGCACCGGCCUCAAGAAGGCUGAGCUGCUGCUGGGCGGUGCUGCGUUAUACCAGCCAUAAACAUCGGCCACCUCCAUGCGUUGCAGUCUCCUAUGUAACGUGGGUGAGCCAGUGAAACCACAGAAUCAUCCCAAAGGUUGUGUCAUGCUUUCAUACAGUUGAGGCCAUUUACAUCCCCUCCUAAAAUGUACACAGUCAUGCAUACUGAGGAGCAGAGGUGGGGAGGCCCUAGUGUGUGCAGCUUGUGGAAAACAGAGCAGCAUUUGUAAAUGUUGAUACGUAGAACAAGAAACUUAUCAAAGGAGGGACAAGAGAAAAGGCAGGUCUCUAAAAUUAGUCACUGAGGACUUGUUUUCAUCUCUGUUUUGAAAGGUCAUGGGGGUUUCUCUUGAGCUAGAAUGGAGGCAAUUUGUGCAGUGCAUGGACCAAUCAGUGUGAGGGUGCCUGAGUUUCCAGUGACAUAUUUGCAACUGUUUGUGUUCAUAGCUUUUGAGCUAUGGCCAUGGAAGAUGGUUCGUAUUAUAUUUAAUGGUUGUUGAUCCAGUAUCUGGCCAGUGGAAGAUAUUUGUUCCUGAUGGUCUGGCAGAGCUUUCGGCUCUGCAAACACUCAUUGCUGUGGCUUCCAGCCCGAGCACACUGCGGUCACAUCGCAGGAAUGUGACAGUUGGACUGUAAUUUUAGUUCUGCUCAAUUUCUUUGUAAAUGAUUUAUAAACCCAACUUGAAAAAUUAAUCUUUAAAUAGGUUGCAGCAUUUUAGUUAUACUCAACACAUAGGAUUCCUAUUACACAUCUAAUUCUAUUAUUUCUAGUUAUGGCACAGUGCUAUUGAAGUUUGUGAAUUACAAAAACAUGGCAACUAUUUUUUUUUUCAUUCAAGGAUAAAUAGCCUUAAAGUAAACAACUAAAUAAUACCAAGGGAAAAGAUACAAUGUAAUUUUCUACAUAUAAAACCCCAC
rnacentral:lncRNA from 1 species